ACAUAUCAAUAAGCGGAGGAAAAGAAACCAACAGGGAUUGCCCCAGUAACGGCGAGUGAAGCGGCAAUAGCUCAAAUUUGAAAUCUGGCUCUUUCAGGGUCCGAGUUGUAAUUUGCAGAGGGCGCUUUGGUGUCGGCAGCGGCCUAAGUUCCUUGGAACAGGUCAUCAUAGAGGGUGAGAAUCCCGUAUGUGGCUGCUUGUCUUCACCGUGUAAAGCCCCUUCGAUGAGUCGAGUUGUUUGGGAAUGCAGCUCUAAAUGGGAGGUAAAUUUCUUCUAAAGCUAAAUAUUGGCCAGAGACCGAUAGCGCACAAGUAGAGUGAUCGAAAGAUGAAAAGCACUUUGGAAAGAGAGUCAAAAAGCACGUGAAAUUGUUGAAAGGGAAGCGCUUGCAGCCAGACGUGCCCGUAGUUGCUCAUCUGGGGAUUUCCCCAGUGCACUCUUCUAUGGGCAGGCCAGCAUCAGUUCGGGCGGUUGGAGAAAGACCUGUGUCACGUAGCUCUCUUCGGGGAGUGUUAUAGGGCAGGUGGAAUGCAACCAGCCUGGACUGAGGUCCGCGCAUCUGCUAGGAUGCUGGCGUAAUGGCUGUAAGCGGCCCGUCUUGAAACACGGACCAAGGAGUCUAACAUCUAUGCGAGUGUUUGGGUGUCAAGCCCGAGCGCGUAAUGAAAGUGAACGGAGGUGGGAACCCCUCGGGGUGCACCAUCGACCGAUCCUGAUGUCUUCGGAUGGAUUUGAGUAAGAGCAUAGCUGUUGGGACCCGAAAGAUGGUGAACUAUGCCUGAAUAGGGUGAAGCCAGAGGAAACUCUGGUGGAGGCUCGCAGCGGUUCUGACGUGCAAAUCGAUCGUCAAAUUUGGGCAUAGGGGCGAAAGACUAAUCGAACUAUCUAGUAGCUGGUUCCUGCGA
rnacentral:rRNA from 1 species